UACGGGAGGCAGCAGUGGGGAAUAUUGCACAAUGGGCGCAAGCCUGAUGCAGCCAUGCCGCGUGUAUGAAGAAGGCCUUCGGGUUGUAAAGUACUUUCAGUCGUGAGGAAGGUGUUAAGGUUAAUAACCUUAGCAAUUGACGUUAGCGACAGAAGAAGCACCGGCUAACUCCGUGCCAGCAGCCGCGGUAAUACGGAGGGUGCGAGCGUUAAUCGGAAUUACUGGGCGUAAAGGGCACGCAGGCGGUUAAUUAAGUUGGAUGUGAAAUCCCCGGGCUUAACCUGGGAAUGGCAUUCAAGACUGGUUAGCUAGAGUCUUGUAGAGGGGGUAGAAUUCCAUGUGUAGCGGUGAAAUGCGUAGAGAUGUGGAGGAAUACCGGUGGCGAAGGCGGCCCCUGGGACAAAGGACUGACGCUCAUGUGCGAAAGCUGGGGAGCAAACAGGGAUUAGAUACC
rnacentral:rRNA from 1 species